rnacentral:antisense_RNA from 1 species
GAUAACCAAAAAUCCGAGCCGGAUUGACAGUGGGUUCAGUAAUGACUCUGACAGAUGCAACCGUUGAAUCAUAAAGACCGCCCCAAAAUAAGGCUUUUGCGACCAACAACCAAGCACCUGCACCUAACAACAGUAAGUGAAUGCCGAUGAUUGUGGUCAUUUUGUCUUCAUCUUCCCA